CUAGGAUCCAUUGUCAGCCAGUCUUCCAAGGCUCAAAAAGCUGCAGGGGCAGAAGUAGUCUUGACUGCACAUGCUCUUCUUGCACCACAGCUGAAGGAGGCCAAAAAGCAGCCUGCCUUGGGCAGUGGAAACCAAAGGAACAAAAGAGGAAUAAAGAUGCCCCCAUGAGAGAAGAAAUAAGUGCUGGAAUUCCUGGAUACAGUUGUUGCUGAGGCACAGCCAAGCAUGAAAAUCUUAUUGGAGGAAGAGUCCCUGACCUACUGAGUAGUGUUCCAAACAGUACUAUUAAUGGCUGUGGAAUCCACAAGUUGGCCACAAUCUUUCCUGAAGCACAACCCAGGCACAUGCCUUGACUUUUAUGGCACUUGAAUAAUGAUAUUGCACUUUAAAGAGCGUGAGGGGGUUUUAAAAAUUCUGGUCUUGUGCCAAGUUUUCCCAUUUCAUGUAAAAGAAACUUUUUUUUCCACCUGUCUGCAUAAAAGGAUGCAAGAAGCAUGAGGAAAGACAAGAGAAAUUCUUCUUGCUUAUAUCUUAUUUCUAUCUUGAAAUAUGACCUACUUUUGAAAAGUUAGAAGGACCCCAUCAGAAUUCUCAAUUGUCAGAGCUCUCCGUCUUCUGAAAGCUGGACUUUUGCUAUAAAAGAGAUGUCUAUAAAAAUGAAUAAAUCUGUUGAUACUAGUCAUUUUCAUUAAUUUAUGUCUCAACACAAAAUUUUAAAAGUACUUAUAUAAUGUGGCUGUAAUAAAACCCUAUACAGAGAGAUUUAAAAAUGAAUAUGAAGCACAGAUUUCCACAAUCAUGUGCCCAAUGCACAGAAAGAGCAAACGUGAUUUUCUUUUUCCUCUA
rnacentral:lncRNA from 10 species